rnacentral:rRNA from 1 species
AGCGAACGCUGGCGGCAGGCCUAACACAUGCAAGUCGAACGGCAGCACAGUAAGAGCUUGCUCUUACGGGUGGCGAGUGGCGGACGGGUGAGGUAUAUAUCGGAAUCUACUUUUUCGUGGGGGAUAACGUAGGGAAACUUAAGCUAAUACCGCAUACGACCUACGGGUGAAAGCGGGGGAUCUUUGGGCCUUGCGCGGUUGGAUGAGCUGAUGUCGGAUUAGCUAGUUGGCGGGGUAAUGGCCAACCAAGGCGGCGAUCCGUAGCCGGCCGGAGAGGAUGGUCGGCGACAUGGGAACGGAGACACGGACCAGACUCCUGCGAGACGCAGCAGUGUGGAAUAGGGGGCAAGGGUGGCGAGCCUGAUCCAGCGAGACGGCGUGUGAGAAGAAGGCGCUCGGGUUGUGAAGCCCGUUUGUUGGUAAAAAAACGCAUCAGGCUAAUACGCCGCUUUACUGACGGUACCCGGAGAAGAAGCACCGGCUAACUUCGUG